UUAUCAGUUUUCUCAAGGCCUUCAACAAUGACGGAGCUUCUAAGCUUGUGUCGACUGACCUAAAAUGGCGUCGAGUGAUGAGAGUGAUAGCGGCGAGAUUUCGAAUUCUUUAAAACGAAAGAGAGGAGUGUGGAAAUACACCAAAGACUGGGAAGCUACUUUUGCAUGGAUUACCAACAAUGAAACCGACAGAACAAAUACGACGGCCUACUGUAAAUUGUUUAGUCAGCAUUUUGCCUUCAACGACCAGGGUCCUCAUUUUACCGACCUCGGAAGAAUGGAAGGCUGAGUCCACCUUGACCUGAACACGGAUCAGCCUGGAUAAAUACCUUUUUUUGCCUUGAAUUGGGCAGAAAAGGGAAGAACUAAGCAAUAAAUACAGCACAUAUAGUCCUCAAUUUACAA